AGUGAACGCUGGCGGUAGGCCUAACACAUGCAAGUCGAACGGCAGCACAGUAAGAGCUUGCUCUUACGGGUGGCGAGUGGCGGACGGGUGAGGAAUACAUCGGAAUCUACUUUUUCGUGGGGGAUAACGUAGGGAAACUUACGCUAAUACCGCAUACGACCUACGGGUGAAAUCAGGGGAUCUUCGGACCUUGCGCGAUUGAUUGAGCCGAUGUCGGAUUAGCUAGUUGGCAGGGUAAAGGCCCACCAAGGCGACGAUCCGUAGCUGGUCUGAGAGGAUGAUCAGCCACACUGGAACUGAGACACGGUCCAGACUCCUACGGGAGGCAGCAGUGGGGAAUAUUUGACAAUGGGCGAAAGCCUGAUCCAGCCAUACCGCGUGGGUGAAGAAGGCCUUCGGGUUGUAAAGCCCUUUUGUUGGGAAAGAAAAGCAGCAGGUUAAUACCCCGCUGUUUUGACGGUACCCAAAGAAUAAGCACCGGCUAACUUCGUG
rnacentral:rRNA from 1 species